CGCAACUGGCCGACUCGCGUCAAGGGAACAAAUGUAUUUCUGUAAUCACGGAAGUUUUUAUCACGCACAGCUAGAAUGACAUUUAUAUAAGUUGCUGCAACUUUAUAAAGGAUCAUAAUUUAUAAGAUAACCCACUUGAGCGCAGUUACUCAUGAAAGAGCAACAUAUAUUUGUUCACCACUAAAUAUAGAACUUCCAGAAGUCGCUCAACGUUCGAAAACCGCUCUCAGCUGUUCGGAGUGUCUUUAUAGACAACAUUUAUUUAUUUAUUUAUCUAUCUAAUUAUUAUGUUUGACUGUUAAAAAGAUGCUUCAGUGGUUUUAUUCAAAAUAAUAACGAGAGUUUUAAUGCUCUUGUUUGGAAAUAUGCUCCAAAAAAUACUUCAGGCAAAGCUAAAAUCGCUGAAAUGCAUAUGAUGGGGUCUUAUUUAGCUGUAAUCCAGUUUAACGAAGGGUACACUGGAUUAUUGGAAGUAUUGGAAGUUCUAAAGAUAAAAUUUGGACAACAAGUAACCGAAUACCGCGACAAGCAGAAUGCGCUCCGUAUUUCCGCUGCUGAGCGAAAACCAAAAGCAACGACGCGUGACACUAGAUUUCAACAGAGGCAUACUUUAAAUGAACAGAAAGAGGAGGAUGCUGAACAUAUAAUUUGGGAGACUUAUUUUAUGGUCCUGGAGUAGAUGCGCUAUGAACUUCUGUUGGUCCGCUACGCAUGCGCCCGUUUGACAUAAUUUUUUUUAGGCGACUCUGUGAUUAUUGUAGCUAUAAAUGUUAUCUAAUAUUUUUUCACGAAAAUUUCACAAAAAGUAGUUCAAAUUAUGUACUUUGUGAUGUUAGUAAAGUAAUUUAGAAAAAAUUAUUUGUCAAAAAAAAUUUUUUUUUAAAUAGUCUUUUCUAAAGCUGUUACACUGAUUUUCCUCCUUAACGAUUAUAACAUAUCGAAAAUCGUUUUCUCACAACAAAUGCUCUAUCCAUUACUUAAAACUUAACACUUAAACCAUUCUAUCGUAUGUUCAAUUCCCGAUGACAGUAUUUUUAACAUCUGUAAAUAAUUAAUUCGUUAUUAUUAAAAAAUGCAUAGCAUUUUGUGCAGUUAUUAUUGUAUAUAUUUCUAUAAUGUAUCUUAAUUACAGUAGACAUUUAUAUAAUGCUGAUGCAAACUUUUGACUGCAAUCAAUCUGUUUAAGCUUGAUAAAGUUAAUCCUUAGAUCUCGAAGAAAUAAAUAAUAAUGCUAAUCCAAGCUGUCGAUUUGCAAUCAGUCCGUUGAUACAAUUAAUCUUGAGAUCUUGAGAUCUUGCUUUACCAAAAGUAUUUAAAAAAUUAAUUUUAGUUUGUACUAAAAAUUAGAAUUUCUACUCGGCGUUAUAUUAUUAUAACUUAUUAACUUGAUAGUAAAAAUAAGCAUAUUCAAUGUUAUAAUGUAGAAGAUGGGAUAGAGAGAAAAAAGAAAGAGGGAGAUAAAAAGAAAAGGAGAGGGAUUAUAAU